rnacentral:rRNA from 1 species
AUUGAACGCUGGCGGCAUGCCUUACACAUGCAAGUCGAACGGCAGCACGGGAGCAAUCCUGGUGGCGAGUGGCGAACGGGUGAGUAAUACAUCGGAACGUGCCCAAUCGUGGGGGAUAACGCAGCGAAAGCUGUGCUAAUACCGCAUGAGAUCUACGGAUGAAAGCAGGGGACCGCAAGGCCUUGCGCGAAUGGAGCGGCCGAUGGCAGAUUAGGUAGUUGGUGAGGUAAAGGCUCACCAAGCCUGCGAUCUGUAGCUGGUCUGAGAGGACGACCAGCCACACUGGGACUGAGACACGGCCCAGACUCCUACGGAAGGCAGCAGUGGGGAAUUUUGGACAAUGGGCGCAAGCCUGAUCCAGCCAUGCCGCGUGCAGGAUGAAGGCCUUCGGGUUGUAAACUGCUUUUGUACGGAACGAAAAGGCUUUCUCUAAUAAAGGGGGCUCAUGACGGUACCGUAAGAAUAAGCACCGGCUAACUACGUGCCAGCAGCCGCGGUAAUACGUAGGGUGCAAGCGUUAAUCGGAAUUACUGGGCGUAAAGCGUGCGCAGGCGGUGAUGUAAGACAGUUGUGAAAUCCCCGGGCUCAACCUGGGAACUGCAUCUGUGACUGCAUCGCUGGAGUGCGGCAGAGGGGGAUGGAAUUCCGCGUGUAGCAGUGAAAUGCGUAGAUAUGCGGAGGAACACCGAUGGCGAAGGCAAUCCCCUGGGCCUGCACUGACGCUCAUGCACGAAAGCGUGGGGAGCAAACAGGAUUAGAUACCCUGGUAGUCCACGCCCUAAACGAUGUCAACUGGUUGUUGGGUCUUCACUGACUCAGUAACGAAGCUAACGCGUGAAGUUGACCGCCUGGGGAGUACGGCCGCAAGG